UUAAUUAUUAACAGUACUUAACAUGACUUACGCCUUGAUGAAAGCUUCCGUUACGCUUACGGAAAGCUUCCGUAUGAAUCGCCAAUGCUGGUGGUGGAUUAUAGAUAUUAAUUUAUUUACAUAAACGUCAGAGUGCCUGGCCGUUGCAACGACUCAAGAAUUUUCAAAGACCUUUCCAAUGACAACAACCCACAAGCAGAGGAAAUAAGAAAAGCAAUAGCUGAUUAUUUUGUUUCUUCACAUGCAUCUUCAGGUGGUUCUUCAGACGAUUAUGAAACGCGGAUGGUAAUUGAUCCACUAUCGAUUGGAGAUGAUAAACAAAACCAAUGAUGAAUUAACUGCAACAGACAUAAUAGUUUAAUAUAUAAAACAUUUUCUUAAUACGUACUUGUAAA